UCGAGAAUCUUUCACAAUGGGGGCAACCCUGAUGGAGCGACGCCGCGUGGAGGAUAAGGUCUUCGGAUUGUAAACUCCUGUCAUGCGUGAACAAGAUUGCCGGGUUAAUAACCCGCGCAAGUUGAUGGUAACGCAAGAGGAAGAGACGGCUAACUCUGUGCCAGCAGCCGCGGUAAUACAGAGGUCUCAAGCGUUGUUCGGAAUCACUGGGCGUAAAGGGUGCGUAGGUGGCGCGGUAAGUCAGAUGUGAAAGCCCGGGGCUCAACCUCGGAAUUGCAUCCGAUACUGCCGUGCUUGAGUACUGGAGAGGUGACUAGAAUUCUAGGUGUAGCAGUGAAAUGCGUAGAUAUCUAGAGGAAUACCAAAGGCGUAGGCAGGUCACUGGACAGUUACUGACACUGAGGCACGAAGGCCAGGGGAGCAAACG
rnacentral:rRNA from 1 species